AACAAAAUGAAGCUAGAAUGUCAAAAAUGUAAAUCAGUAAACUGCUUUUGAUUAACACACAGGGAAUAUCACAUUCAGUAAGGUUCCAAUCUGCAAAGAAUGCUACAGCUUCCAUAUCAAAAUAUCAAAUCAGAAUCAAUAUGAACUGAUUAUAAGUGGAUACUUUCGGUGUUCCAAAGACUAAGACAACUGGAAGCAGUUUGACCUUAAUUACUAGUUUGACCUUGUGGAACUGGUAACAGAAGUAUUUUAAAUGGCGAUUUACCUAAAAUCAAUCCCUUGCUACUUUGGAAAAAAAAGCUAGUCCUGAAUUCUCACCGGAUAUUUACAAAUCACAUGAUCAGAAGAUGAUUAUACUCACUAUAGUUUGGAUUUAACUCAUAUUUUUUUUCUAUGUAUGCCCCAAUGCCAAUUUCUGAACUGCUUUUUUUUUUUUUUUUUCCAUAUAGAAGAGUAUAACCAAAGAAACUAAGAUAUCCACAAGAACUACAUAGGAAUCACGUCAACUUCCUCAACUCCCUGCAAAUCUCAGGACUCUAAUCCCAUCAGCAAAAUUUAUGCUCCCUCCGUCCCAUAUAAUUCUAUACACUUCCAUCUUUUGGAUGUCCCACCCAAUUCUAUACAUUUCAAAAAUUUCUUAAAACAGUAAACUUUUAUAAAUGAAAAACCCACUCACCCACUACUUUUUCAAAUCUAUCAAUUUUAUAUUGAUGGGACCCACUAAUUUACGCACUAUUCUUUCUCUUCUCAUUAUUUAAUAUUAUUUUUAUACACUUUUCUUAGUCUCCGCGCCCAAUCCAUAUGUAUACUUCCUCGAGGGAGUAUACACAUUACAUAACUCCCAGAAUUAAAAUUUAAAUGUUUAUAUCUUCAUUGUACUAAGCGACAAUUAAAUUCUAGGUCAAAUAAGACUCCGAACCACAGAUUGAGGAUUUAUUCAUUCUCUAUCUAAAGUAAUUUUUAAUAAAUUAAAAGAUACAUCAACUAGUCACAAAUCAAAAUUUCAGCAAACACAGAUCAACAAACAAACGUUACUUCCUUAAAAGAAAGGUAGUACAUACAAACGAUAACGAAAUCGACAAGAACAAUUCAUCACCGCCAAAUGAGAACUUAAUUAUACACGAGAAUGUUAAGAUUUACAUACCAGCAAUCCUCUUCACGAAUUCGGCAAACCAAAUAACGUAAUUUGCCACUAUUAGCUUCACUUCUUUCCAUUCUCUUGAAGCAAAGUUCUUAAAAACUUAAAAGGAGAUAAAAAGAAAGUGGUUCGAGGAAUGGAGAUUGAUUUUCCUUACCACCGUACAAUAACUCUAAAGUUUGCGACUUUAAAGUUUGUUGAAACACAAAAGUAUAUAAAGAGUGAGAUGGAUGAGUCUGGGGUGACGUCAGCGUGUUGACGUAGCUUAAAGAAAAUAGAAUAGUAAAAGCAGGAUUAUGUUUGUGAAUACCGGGGGUGGGCUUCAUAUAUACAAAUUUAUCCUUGGGAAAUUGUAGUUGGGCAUAAAAAAAUGUUAUUUCAAAGUUGUAGCUCAUAUAUGAAGUAAAAUAAAGUAAUUAAAAUAUACUCACUCCAUCCCAUAAAGUAUGAGCUAAUCAAUUUUACGCACAUUUCAGAAAUUUGAGUAUGACUAUCCGAUAUGUAUUUGCAUUCACAAAAAGAUGAGUUAGUGGAUGAUGACUAAGCAUUUACUUGAAUAUGUGGUUAUAGCUGCUUAGUCAUUAUCCACUAACUCAUCUUUUUGUGAAUGCAAAUACAUAUCAAUAGUCAUACUCAAAUUUCUUAAAUGUGCGUAAAAUUGAUUAGUUCAUGCUUUAUGGGAUGGAGUUAGUAUAUUUUGAUUAGUUUAUUUUACUUCAUAUAUGAGCUACAACUUUAAAAUAACAUUUUUAUGCCCAAUUACAAUUUCCUAAGGAUAAAUUUGUAUAUAUGAAGCCCACCCCAGUAUUCACAAACAUACUCCUACUUUUACUAUUCUAUUUUCUUUAACCUCCGUCAACACGUUGACGUUACCCCAGAAUCAUCCAUCUCACUCUUUAUAUACUUUUGUGUUCCAACAAACUUUAAAGUCGCAAACUUUAGAGUUAUUAUACGCUGGUAAGGAAAAUCAAUCUCCAUUCUUCAAACCACUUUCUUUUUAUAUCCUUUUAAUUUUAAGAACUUUACUCUUAGAGAGUGGAAAGAAGUGGAACCGAAUGUGGCAAAUUCCCUCUGAAUUACGUUAUUUGGUUUGCCGAAUUUGUGAAGAGGAUUGUUGGUAUGUAAAUCUUCCAAUUUUCAUGUAUAUUAAGUUAUUCUCAUGAAGUGGUGAUGAACUCUUCUUGUCGAUUUCGUUAUGAUUUAGCAUGUAUUACUUUUUCUUUUCCGAAGUAAUUUUAUCUUUGCUUGUUCAUCUGUGUUUAAUGAAAUUUUAAUUUGUGACUAGUUGAUUUGUCUUUUGAUUUAUCGAAAAUUACUUUAAAUAGAAAAUGAAUAAAUCCACAAUCUGUGGUUUGGAGUCUUAUUUGGCCUAAAGUUUAAUUGUCGUUUAGUACAAUGAAGAUAUAAAGAUUUAAAUUUUAAUUAUGGGAGUCAUGUAAUGUAUUUAAAUUGUGCUGAUGGGAUUAGAGUCUUAAGAUUUGCAAGGAGUUGAGGAAGUUCAUGUGAUUCCUAUGUAGUUGUUGUGGAUAUCUUAGUAAACGACAAUGAAGAUAUAAAGAUUUAAAUUUUAAUUAUGGGAGUCAUGUAAUGUAUUUAAAUUGUGCUGAUGGGAUUAGAGUCUUACGAUUUGCAAGGAGUUAAGGAAGUUGAUGUGAUUCCUAUGUAGUUGUUGUAGAUAUCUUAGUUUCUUUGAUUAUACUCUUUAAUAUUGGGGAAAAAAGCAGUUCAAAUAUUGGCAUUGAGGCAUAAAUAGAAAAAAAAUGAGUUUAAUCCAAACUAUAGUGAGUAUAAUCAUCUUCUGAUUAUAUGAUUUGUAAAUCACCAGUUAUGAUUACUACUCGGUAUAUUUUGGAUUUACUCAUAUUUUCUUCUAUACAUGCCCACGAACUACUUUAUUUCCUGUAUUACGGAGCACAAACAAAGAAAGUAAAAUAUCCACAAAAGCCACAUAGGAAUCGCAUCAAGUUCCUCAACUCUUUGCAAAUCUUAUAACUCUAACCCCAAUAGCACUUUAAAUAAAUUACAUGACUCCCGGAUUUAAAAGUUGAAUGUUUAUAUCUUCAUUUGUACUAAGCGAAAAUUAAAUUCUAGGUCAAAUAAGAUUCCGACACUGUAGGUCGGGGAUUUAAACAUUCCCUAUCUACACUCAUUUUUAGUAAAUCAAAUUACAAACCAACUAGUUCCGAAUUAUAAUAUCAUCAAACACAAAUGAACAAGCAAACAUAAAAUUACUUUGCAAAAACAACAGGUAGCUCAUACCAAACCAUAACGAAAUCGACAGGAACAGUUCAGCACCACCAAAUCAGAACUUAAUAUACAUGAGAAUUUGAAGAUUACAUACCAGCAAUCCUCUUCACGUAUUGGGAAUACCAAAUAACGUAAUUCACAUCAGGGAAUUCUCCAAUAUUUGCUUCACUGCUUUCCAUUCUCUUAAAUCAAAGUUCCUAAAGACUUCAAAUUAAAAAGAGAUAAAAAGAAAGUGGUUUACGACUUUAAAGUUUGUUGGAACACAAAAGUAUAUAAAAAGUAUAUGUGUUCUAAAGCAAGAACUUAGAGAAUUUCAGACAAUUAUACAAAAGUUCUGCUUUUCUUGCUGAGGCUUCAACUUUGUUUACAUAGUAAUUAUGUAAGUGAAUAUAUAAUUUUCUCCAUCCAUUACCUAGUACCUACUCUCCAUGAGUUUCUGUAAAUGCUUUGCCGAUUCACAUCUGGGGUUUACAAUUACGAGCCCAGAGUAUCUCCCGUACAUUUCAAUCAACGCCGUAUGAACAAACAAAUCAGACCCAAAACCUCUAAUCAUCAGUAUCUAAAGUAUCUGGUUGGGGACUUGUGUCAAACAGGUGGCGGGCAUACGAGACCUCAUCAGUGACCCGUGAAAACAUUUUACUAGCUAUGUUAGGGUAACAUCUAAAGUGGUUUUGAGGAUAAGCAGAGAUUUGGAGAAGAUGAUUGCGGGAGAUGAGUGUUCUCAGGGUUGAAUGUAUCGGCGUUCCUCACGAAGAUCCCGUUUAAUAUUUGAAACAUAUUUUCAGUAUUUGGGGAUAACAUUCUUGAUUUUUUUUAAAUCAAUGACAUAUUGAAAAAAUUCUCAUGAAUUGAGGUGUAUUUUAUUCGAAUUUUAAUAGUCUGAUUUUAAAAGAUUGUAUGUAAUUUUAAAUUACGCGAAUUUUUGAAAAAAUGUUGCAGAAUUGAUAUAGAUUAUUUAAAAUUUAAGUACAAUAUUUCAAAAUCUCAUGGAUUUUGGUGGGAUUUCAAAAAAAUUAAAAUUCACUCAAAAAUCUCGCAAAAUCCAUCAUUUUAUGAAAUCCAUAAAAAUCCAAUAGUAUUUGUAUAUCAUUUGAAUUUUAAACAAUCCAAAUUAAAUGAAAAAAAGCCCUAAAUAACUGAAUUUUUGAGUUUAAUGCCCCGUAGAACAAAAUUUGAAAAAGUGGCCCCAGUUGACAUGUGAAAACACUUAAAAUUGCCCGCAAGGGUUGGUUCAGCUGGUUAAAGAGGGGACAAGUAUCCUCUUGAUCACUGGUUCGACUCCCGAAGGGAGCACGUAGUUUGCAGGCUAUUGCGUGGGUUUACCCAGUGCGCACCCCCGAAGUGUAGCGGCUGUGGGUUCCUACGUUAAAGUUUGCAGGCUCGCAUAGGUUUACGGGUUUUCUCUUUUCUUCUUUUAUUAAACCUUUUCAAACUUCACAGUUUACAUAAGUAAAGUUAACAUUGAGUACACUGAGUAGACGAAGUACAGAGAAAACAGGUUGCGGGUUGCGGGUUGGGUCAAGCUAAUAUAAAGAAAAAUCAAUUGAGAUGAUGGAUUAUAAUGUAAGUUUUACAUUCUUUUGAAGAAUUGCAAUUCAAUUUAUAUAUAUUUUCAAUGUAUAUGUUCUAUGUGUUUGUUAAAGUGUCUAUGAUGAUUUACAUAUGAAGCAGUGGUUAGAAAUAGCUAGUAUUAUUUCUAAUUGAGUUGUAGUCACAUAUUACCAGUUAAGUUCGAGUUAUGUAAUGCAUAUUUGGAGCUUAAUUUUAGAAUUUGAAGCUUAUCUAUUACUUUACUAUGAGAAAUCUGCUUAGGUUAUCCAUGUGUAUGAAGAAUACGUAAGUUUAGGACCAAUAUAAUUGGAAAUGGCACUAGUUUAGGAGCAUCUUCUACCUGAUCAACCCUACAGAGCCCACAUAUCAGAGAAUUGAAAGUGAACAUAUCUGGUUUACAUCCUCCGUUUACCAUGUCAGCGUAUAGUUCCAGAGCCUCCUUAACCUUCUCAUCCUUAGCUAAAGCAUUUAUCAGGCAGUUGUAUCCAACAGUGUUUAAGCGGAUCCCCAAUGCUGACAUUUCACGGACAGCUUCUUCUGCUUCCUUCAAUCUGCCGACCUUGCAGAACCCGUUGAUCAAACUCGUGUAUGUUAUUAGGUUGGGCUUGCAACCCAUAAUUUCCAUCUCUUUCAUCAAAUUUCGUGCUAAAGAAAAAGAUUUUCUCGAACAUAGACCACGGAUGAUUAUGUUAUAUGUAUAGAUAUCUGGAUUGCAACCAACAGCGGGCAUCCCCUGCCUCAAAACAGCAUUGGCAUCAUCAAACUGUCCAUUGGCCACAUAACCAUUAAUCAAAGUAUUGAACAAAACAACAUUAGGCUCGGGCACUCUCUCCAGAAUAGCUCUAGCUUUAUCAACUUGACCAGUUCGGCAUAAUCCAUCCAUUAAAAUUCCUUAAGUAAACUUGCUAGGAGUGAAGCCUCAGAGAAGCAUUCUAUCGACCAAUUUAGCACCUUCAGGUAUCCUCUUAGCACGGCAAAGACCAUGAAUAACAUCAUUAAAAGUAUCAACAUCAGGUGUGCAACCCAUCAGAAACAUUUCCUCCAAAUAUCUUAUCACGUCAUUUAUUCUGUUCACCUUACAAAGCGCAUGUAUAAGUGUCUGGUAAAUAACUGAAUUCGGCACACACCCAUGUUCUGUCAUAUCUCUUAAAAGUGAACAUGCAGAAUCCACCUCAUUAACCAUACAAAGCACUUUCAUCACCACACCGAACGUUAAAACAGUUGGAGAAAUCCCCUUGUGCAACAUCUCAUAAAAAAUAUUCGGUGCAACAGCCGGGCAAUCCCCAGCAACCAAUAUAUCCAGAACAACAUUAUAAGACCUAAAACUAGGUUCGCAACUAAAAACAUCCCUCAUAUCAAAAAGUAACCGCGUCGAUUGACCAGGUAAACCAGCUCUACCAUAAUGCCUCAUCAUAGAAAUAAAAAGUGACUCCUGAAAAACUACCCCUUCAUCUUUCAUCCGCAGCAACAAUCCAUCAAUCAACUUAAACUCCCCGGCCGCUCCAAGUUUAUUAAUCAAAGUACAAUACACAUCAAAUGUAUGAGUAUACCCCAUUUGAGUACCCGCCUUACGGAACAAAUCCACAGAAGUAGGGACAUCAAGGGGGAGUUGAAGCAACUUAUUAAGCUGAUACGGUGCAAGUCGAUUAAGGGACUUUCGAAGCUGUUCAAUGUCAAAUGGUUCAAGCAAACUUUCCCAAUCUGUUUCAGGGGAUGACCCAUUCUUAUAAUCAGAAUUACCAACAACAUUUCCAUCAUCCCCAAUUGAACUACAAUAUGUAAAGAUUGGAUUUUUAUACAAAGAUUGAACCUUUUUGACAAAAUGACACCCAAGAUUCAAUCUUUUGAGCAUAACUCUUAUUGGGUAAUUGUAAACAAGCAAAAGCUAAGCACACAACUGAUUGGCAUUACACAUACAUAAACUUUUCAGGGUUAUAAGCAAUUGUGUGUAUACAUGUAUGUAUAUGUGCAUAUAGAGUUGAAAAAUAUAUGAGAAACAGAGCAGAAUAAAGAGCUCUAACCUGGGAAAAAUAUCUUGCAUAUAGUGUUUGUAUUUGCUGCAAAAAGCUUCUGCACUAAUUAUUCAGUGAGCAGCGGAUCGGGUCUAAAGUCAAAUUUUCAAAUCAAUUGGGUGUUUGUAUGUGCAUAUAAUUCAGCACACAAUAAAGCUGAUCAUGGCUUAUGGACCAGAAAGCUGCUUCUUCAGCUUUUUCAAAGAAAUUUUCUUUCAACAUUGCUACACACUAUGGUUUCAGCCGCAUUGCUUGUUAAUCAAUCUCGUCGAAUUGAUCUAUAUCAUCUACCCAUAAAGUUUCAUCAUCUAAUUGAAGCGCCCACAAGUUUCCUCAUUUCUUUCUAUCUAUAUUCCCAUGUUAUAACUAGUACAUUAGCAAAGGCGUUCUUUUCUAAUAUCUCGGAUAUUCAUAUAAAAGAGUACACAUGUAAAACAAAAAUACUAAACAAACUCAUGAACUAAAUAUUAAUGACCACAAAUAAUAAUCACACAAAAUACAAAUAAAAAAGCGGAAACCAAAGAAAUAUUCAGAAGAGAUGAUUCAAAACUUUCUAACAAUUACAAAACUAAUCUUUAAAAUUUGUGAGUCAUAAAGCCUGGAUGAUGACCUUGUGACAGAGAUAGCUAACCAUGCCUCUCAUCAUUCAUCUCAAUGACAAUGUUAUGCAAGAUGCGGCAAGCUGUGCUAAUACUUUGACGCUUCUCAGCUUUCAUUACAAGUGUAAGAACCUUCCAUUCUUCCUUUAGCCGCCUAUCCAUUGUCUCAGCAGUCAUUCUUUCCUCAGUAGCAGUGGCUGUCCCAUGGAGGUGGCGAAGGCCAUUUUCUACCAAGGCCUCCACAAAGGACCUUGUAACCUUAUCAGCAGUAAAAGAGUGCGUACCAAUUUCCUUACUGAUUGAGUUCAGUGACUUGCCAAAUUUUAGCCUUCUCAACGCUAUGGCUACUUUAUCAACCACGGUCAAUUCUCUAUUAUCGUUAAAUUUGUAUGUGUGUGACUUGGACAUUGGCUCCAUCACAAGAGAGCACAAGUAUCUGAAGGUUCUCAUUGAGAUCCCGCAGUACUCUUCGACUCUAGUCGAGUCUUCCAAGAGAGGAAAAUGUCCUGCAAAGAAGAGAAGAAAAUGCAUUUUUAUAAAUACGACUAAGACACUGCCAUAAUGUGUUUAUCAUGCUGAAAACUUGAACAUAUUAGAUUAAUGCAUAACACCAUACUAGUCCAUUCAUUUCAGUAUACAUACACAUAUCGACCUGUAAACUGUAUAAACAAAAUGAAGCUAGAAUGUCAAAAAUGAAGAUCAGUAAACUGCUGGUGAUUAACACACAGGGAUAUAUCACAUUCAGUAAGGUUCCAAUCUGAAAAGAAUGCUACAGCUUUCAUAUCAAAUCUGAAUCAAUAUGAACUGAUUAUAGGUGGAUACUUUCAGUAUUCAUAGCUAGUUACAAGCUCCUAGGAAAACAAACCCUUACAAGAACUAAGUACAUAACAACAUAUUCGAAAACAACAGAUUACAUAUUGUUCCAAAGACUAAGACAACUGGAAGCAGUUUGACCUUAAUUACUAGUUUGACCUUGUGGAACUGGAAAUAGAAAUAUUUUGAAUGUACUUACCUAAAAUCAAUCCCUUGCUACUUUGGAAAAAAAAGCUAGUCCUGAAUUCACUGGUGAUUUAUAAUUCACAUAACCAGAAGAUGAUUAUACUCAGUAUAAUUUCGAUUUACCUCAUAUUUUCUUCUAUGUAUGCCCCAAUGCCAAAAUCUGAAUUGCUUUCUUUCCCAUAUUACAGAGUAUAAACAAAGAAACUGAAAUAUCCACAAGAACUACAUACGAAUCACAUCAACUUCCUCAACUCCUUGCAAAUCUAAGGACUCUAAUCCCAUCAAAAAAAUUUAUAUGCACAUUACAUAACUCCCAGAAUUAAAAGUUAAAUGUUUAUCAUCUUCAUUGUACUAAGCGACAAUUAAAUUCUAGGUCAAAUAAGACUCCGAACCACAGAUUGAGGAUUUAUUCCUUCUCUAUCUAAAGUAAUUUUCAAUAAAUCAAAAGAAAAAUCAACUAGUCACAAAUUAAAAUUUCAUCAAACACAGAUGAACAAGCAAACAUAAAAUUACUUCAGAAAAAAAAAGGGUAGCACAUACCAAACUAUAAUGAAAUCGACAAGAACAGUUCAUCACCACUGAAUGAGAACAACUUAAAAUCCAUGAAAUUUUAAAGAUUUACAUACCAGCAAUCCUCUUCACGAAUUCGGCAAACCAAAUAACGUAAUUCAAAGGAAAUUUGCCACAAUUAGCUUCAUUUCUUUCCAUUCUCUUGAAGCAAAGUUCUUAAAAACUUAAAAUUAAAGGAGAUAUAAAGAAAGUGGUUUGAGAUGGAGAUUGAUUUUCCUUACCACCGUACAAUAACUCUAAAGUUUGUUGGAACACAAAAGUUUAUAAAGAGUGAGAUGGAUGGGUCUUGGGUGAAGUCAGCGUGUUGAUGGAGGUUAAAAGAAAUAGAAUAGUAAGAGUAGGAGUAUGUUUGUGAAUACUGGAGGUGGGCUUCAUAUAUACAAAUUUAUCCUUAGAAAAUUGUAAUUGGGCAUAAUAUAAAUUUUAUUUCAAAGCUGUAGCUCAUAUAUAAAGUAAAAUAAAGUAACUAAAAUAUACUCACUCCAUCCCAUAAAGCAUGAGCUAAUCAAUUUUACGCGCAUUUAAGAAAUUUGAGUAUGAUUAUUUGAUAUGUAUUUGCAUUCACAAAAAGAUGAGUUAGUGGAUGAUGACUAAGCAUUUACUUGAACAUGUGGUUACAGCUAUCUUAAAACAUACUAUAUAAAGUGGUGUCACGGAAAAAAUUUUCAACAUCCCACGUCACUAAGUUAUAUCAAUGCCUUUAUCAGCACAAACUUACAACUAAUAUUGUAUCGGAAUUGAUAACUCUUUUGUAUCAACUUAUAGUUGGUUGUUGAUUGACGUAGUAUGUUUGGCUUGGACUGUAACAAAUUUUGUCUGAGGUCGACCCUGCCAAAAGUGCCUUAAAAGGAUUUCUUCAGUUUUUGGGCUCGACGAGGACGUUAAACUUAUAUAAUGUGGAAAAACUGUAACAUUUCAUAGUAUGUAAGUGUGGACGCAUUUAUAAAUGUUGUAGAAAAGUCGUUAGCUCUUUUGGUUUGGUCUAUGGUGAGUUGUUGAACCAUCUCCUUCACUUUGGCUUGGGGUGUUACACAUUGAAUGCAGUAUAGAAUUUUGUUAUAAUUAUAAGUAUGUAUUUCUUUAUAUAUAUUCAAGUUGAUUGAAAAAUUAUUUAAAUUAAAUGGUACGAUGUAUAAAUCUUCAUAAGCUAUAACUUUAAUAUAAUAGACCUACUUGACUACGUCGAGACAUAUAAAAUUAUGACAAAAAUCCAAUUUAUUAUAAGAUAUGAUUAUAAUAAUAACCUCAAAUACAUAGAUCUGCCAAUUUGGUAUACAACAGAAAACAAAUGACACGAAAAAUAUGGAUAUCGAUUCACCAUUUUGUUAUACGAAUACGAAAGUAUACGAUCGUAAAACGUGUUCAGGUCAGAACUCUCAGGUGCAUUGCCUAAAGCAUAUAAUGCACCUGAGAGUUUUGACCCGAACACGUCAAAAUAUAAAGGGAUAUUUCUAAUGGUCCAUUUUAUGAUCGGGUACUUUCGUAUUCGUAUAUCGAAAUGGUAAUCGUUUUCCUUAUUUUUCGUGUCAAUUUUUCUUUUGUGUCGCAUACCAAAUUAAUGGCUUUAUCUAUUUUAGGUUUUUAUUAAAUUAUGUCUUCUAAUAAAUUAGAUUUUUUCUCAUAAAUUUAUAUGUAUAUUGUAUAGUCAGAUAGGUCUAUUAUAUUAAUGUAGUAGCUUACGAAGGUCAAUACAUUUAAUUAGUUAACUUAAAUAAUUUUUCACUCAACUUGAAGAGAUACAUAUAUAUGUGUGUGUGUGUGUAUCUUUGUGUGUGUGCUUAAUUAUAAUAAAAUUAUAUAAUUAUAUAAUAUAUCAAUUGUAUAACACCCUAAUCCUACGAGAAGCAAAUGGUUCAACAACUCACCACAGAGCAAUCCAAAAAAGCUAGCGACUUUGCUAAAACGUUUAUAAAGGCGUCCAAACUUACCACAGUAGGAUGUUACAGUUUUUCCACACAAUUAGUUUGACGUCCUCGUGGGGCCCAAAAGCUGAAGAAAUUUUGUGAAGCACUUUUGGCAGGGUCGAGCUCUGACAAAAUUCAUUACAGUCCAAUCCUAAUAUACUACAUCAUUCAACAACCCACUAUAAGUUGAUCCAAAAGAGGUAUCAAUCCCGAUGCAGUAUUAGUUAUAAGUUGUGCUCAUAAAGGCAUUGAUAUAACAUACCUAACUUAGUCAGGUGGCAGUAGCAAACUUUCUCCGUGACACUACGGGAAAGAAAGUAGUUCAGAUUUUGGCAUUGAGGCAUACAUAAAAGAAAAUAUGAGGCAAAUCCAAAUAACAACAGAAAGUCACCCUAGACCCAUCCAUCUCACUCUUUAUAAACUUUUGUGUUCCAACAAACUUUAAAGUCGCAAACUUUAGAGUUAUUGUACGGUGGUAAGGAAAAUCAAUCUCCAUUCCUCAAAGCACUUUCUUUUUAUAUCCUUUUAAUUUUAAGUUUUUAAGAAAUUUACUUUAAGAGAGUGGAAAGAAGUGAAGCUAAUUGUGGCAAAUUCCCUCCGAAUUACGUUAUUUGGUUUGCCGAAUUCGUGAAGAGGAUUGUUGGUAUGUAUAUCUUCAUGUAUAUUAAGUUCUCAUUAAGUGGUGACUGUUCUUGUCGAUUUCGUUAUGGUUUGGUAUGUAUUACCUUUUCUUUUCCGAAGUAAUUUUAUCUUUGCUUGUUUAUCUGUGUUUAAUGAAAUUUUAAUUUGUGACUAGUUGAUUUGUGUUUUAAUUUACUGAAAAUUACUUUAGAUAGAGAAUGAAUAAAUCCUCAAUCCGUGGUUCGGAGGCUUAUUUGGCCUAAAAUUUAAUUGUCGCUUAGCACAAUGAAGAUAUAAACAUUUUAAUUUUAAUUAUGGGAGUCAUGUAAUGUAUUUAAAUUGUGCUAAUGUGAUUAGAGUCCUAAGAUUUGCAAGGAGUUGAGGAAGUUGAUGUGAUUCCUAUGUGGUUCCUAUGUAGUUGUUGAUUACUACUCGGUAUAUUUUGGAUUUACCUCAUAUUUUCUUCUAUGUAUGCCCAAUAACUACUUUAUUUCCCGUAUUACGGAGCACAAACAAAGAAACUAAAAUAUCCACAAAAGCCACAUAGGAAUCGCAUCAAGUUCCUCAACUCUUUGCAAAUCUCAUAACUGUAAUCCCAAUAGCACUGUUUAAAUAGAUUACAUGACUCCCGGAUUUAAAAGUUGAAUGUUUAUAUCUUCAUUUGUACGAGGCGAAAAUUAAAUUAUGGGUCAAAUAAGAUUCUGACACUAUAGAUUGGGGAUUUAAUCAUUCCCUAUCUACACUCAUUUUUAGUAAAUCAAAAUACAAACCAACCAGUCCCGAAUUAUAAUUUCAUCAAACACAGAUGAACAAGCAUACAUAAAAUUACUUUGCAAAAACAACAGGUAGCACAUACCAAAACAUAACGAAAUCGACAGGAACAGUUGAGCACCACCAAAUCAGAACUUUAUAUACAUGAGAAUUUAAAGAUUAACAUACCAGAAAUCCUCUUCACGAAUUCAGCAAACCAAAUAACGUAAUUCACAUCAGGGAAUUCUCCAAUAUUUGCUUCACUGCUUUCCAUUCUCUUAAAUCAAAGUUUUUAAAAACUUCAAAUUAGAAAGAGAUAAAAAAAAAAAGUGGUUCGAGGAAUGAAGAUUGUUUUUCCUUACCACCGGAGAAUAACUCUAAAGUUUGCGACUUUAAAGUUUGUUGGAACACAAAGGUAUAUAAAAAGUAUAUGUGUUCUAAAGCAAGAACUUAGAGAAUUUCAGACAAUGAUACAAAAGUUCUGCUUUUCUUGCUGAGGCUUCAACAUUGUUUACAUAGUAAUUACACAAGUGAAUAUAUACAUUUCUCCAUCCAUUACCUAGUACCUACUCUCCCUGAGUUUCUGUAAAUGCUUUGCCGAUUCACAUCUGGGGUUUACAAUUACAAGUCCAGAGUAUCUCCCAUUUUCAAUCAACGCCGUCUGAACAAACAAAUCAGACCCAAAACCUCUAAUCAUCAGUAUCUAAAGUAUCUGGUUGGGGACUUGUGUCAAACAGGUGGCGCGCAUACGAGACCUCAUCGGUGACCCGUGAAAACAUCUUACGUAAUAGCUAGGUUAGGGCAACAACGUUGAUAUCUAAAGCGGUUUUGGAGAUAAGCAGGGAUUUGGAGAAGAUGAUUGAGGUUAGAUGAGUGUUCUCAGGGUUGAAACCCUGUAUCGGCGUUCUUCACAAAGAUCCUGUUUAAUAUUUGAAACAUAUUUGGGGAUAACAUUCUGAUUAUUUUUUUUAAAUCAAUGUUCUAUUGAAAAAAAAUCCUCAUAAAUUGAGGUGUAUUUUAUUCAAAUUUUAAUAGACUGAUUUUCAUCUAUACAUUUUAAUGUAUUGUAUGUAAUUUUGUUUGACGCAAAUUUUGAAAAAAUGUCGUAGAAUUGGUACAAAUUCUUUAAUAUUUAAGUAUAAUACUUCAAAAUCUCAUGAAUUUUGAUGGAAUUUCAAAAAAUUUAAAAUUCAAUGAAAAAUCUCAUAAAAUCCAUCAUUUUAUGAAAUCCAUAAAAAUCCAAUACCAUUUAUAUAUCAUAUGAAUUUUAAACAAUUCAGAUUAAAUAUCAUUGGAUUUUUUAGUAUAAUUUAAAAUUCUAAUUGAAUAUUAUCAGAUUUUAUAGCAUAAUUUAAAAUCACAAUCGAAUAUUCAAAAUUUUUUAAUGAAUUUUAAACAAUCGCAAUUGAAUAUACGCAGAUUUCAUGAAUGAAAAAAAAAUAUAUUUUUUAAAAUUCCAAUCGAAUACACCCCCUAAGUAAUCUCGAAUUUAUAAAUCAAUGGAUAAGUUGUGAUUCAUGAUUUUUAUAAUCAUGGCUCCAAUAUUUUUAUUCACACUUUUUUAUAUUCUUUAUCUUAAUCGAGUAAUAACAAAAAUCUAAAAGAUUAUCGGGCUUGUUUUAUAAUUUCCCAACCUCUUAAAUUUUUUUAUAAAAAUAUUGUUGCAAACUUUCAAUAUUUUAAAAAUACCAUUUAUUUAUUGUUUUGAUACAAAAAAUAUCAUUUAUUAUAAAUUAUUUAUAAAAAUACGACUUGCAACUUCUGCAGCCUCAUUUGCAACAACAUUUUGCGACAGUUGCAAAUGAGAAAUUGAUUUACAACUUGCUUAACAAAUACGACUUGCAAAUUCUGCAAUCUCGUUUUUCAACACCAUUUGCAACAUUUGCAAAUGAGAAAUUUCAUUUGCAACUUAUGCAACGUCAUUUGCAACAGUUGCAAACUGAUGUUGCAAAAGCGGGUUGCAAGUGGUACUUUUAUAAAUAACUAGUUAAGAAACCGCGCGUUGCGGUGGCCUAUAAAAAAUAUAUUAAUGAUUCAAUAUUAAUAUUUGUAAAAUGCUAAUACUAAUAUAUAAAAUUGUAAAAUUGGACUAUAAUUCAUGGUAAAAAAAUGAAAAUAAAUUUCUACACGUAAUUAACAAUUUAAAGCACGACGAAUCUUAAUUUAUUUGUGUUUUUUUUAAAAAGUAAUCAUGUUCUUACAUUGUCACCUUCCUCCAAUUUUUUUCCGAUUGAUUGUGCACAAAAACAUGUAACUUAAAUCCGUGAGAUAACAGUCUAUAACUACCCUUACUUGUAACAAUAAUACUGUAUGAACAGUUUUCACUUAAAAGUUGCUUGAACGGAGAAAACAGAUAAUGAUGAAUAAUAUUUUUCCUUGUACAAUGUAAAUCAUAUAAAAAAUUAACAACAACAAACAUGUCCGAUGAACAAAAUCAAAUAUUAAAAAAAAAUAACCAAAAACCAUACAUCACUAAUAGUUAAUUUAUUGAUAUCAUCCAUCAAUAUCAUGUCAAGACUAUAUUUUUCUCCCGUGUUUGGAUUUGUCGACUCCCACAUAACGGUCUAUAACUAAUUUUGCUUGAAACAACCUUUAUUUUUUUAAUACCGUAUAAACAGCAUUCACUUAUCAUUGUAGAAGAACGGCACCACCGAUUUAGAAAUCGAGCAAGAAAAUUAUCACCAGAGAGAGGUAGGGUUGUGGUAUUGAGAGAGAAUGUUGUGUUUAGAUGAUCCAAAACCCUACAACCUAUAAUUAUAAGUGCAGAAAGACUUGUGUGUGUUACUCUUUUCCAUAAUUAAAUAAUCCGAAACAAAAUCAGAUUAAAACUUUCAAGCUGCUAUAUUCCAUAAAUAAUCUGAAACAAAAUCAAAUUCUGAAACUUGCGAAAAUUCCAGAAAAUUAGAAAAAUAGAACAGAGCGAUGUGAGAGGCGCCACCUACACGCCCCUCGCUUCUCCUUUAUAUAGAAACAAAAUCAAAUUAAAACUUUCAAGCUACUAUGUUCCAUAAAUAAUCUGAAACAAAAUCAGAUCCUGAAACUUGCUUCUAAUAUAUCCGAAACUAAAAAAGGUAGUUCUAAUUUUUGAUAUUUUUUAUCCAAAAAUUUCAGUUAUAUAGAAACAAAAUCAGAUUAAAACUUUCAAGCUACUAUAUUCCAUAAAUAAUCUGAAAUAAAAUCAGAUUCUUGAACUUGCUUCUAAUAUAUCUGAAACUAAAAAAGGUAACUCCAAUUAUUGAUAUUUUUUAUCCAAAAAUUUCAGAAAAUUAGAAAAAUAGAACGGAGCGAUGUGAGAGGCGCCACCUACACGCCCCUCGCUUCUCCUUUAUAUAAGUAUAUUGAUUUGAAAAAAAAAUUGUAUAUUAAAAAAUUUUCAACCGCACAGUAUUUUUAUAAAUAAUUUAUAAGGAGUUGGUAUAUUUAUAAAUAUCCCAAAACUGAUAUUAGAAUUUAAAAUUUAAUCUUUAUUUAAUUUUAAUUAUUCUUCCUCACAUUCACUACGAGAAGAAUGGGGAAGACUUCUUUAUCGUGUUGAUGGUGAUUAAAGAUACGAGCAUUUACUUUCAAAAAAAAAAAAAGAUACGAGCAUUAAUAAAUAAUUAAAAUAUUUAUGAUUGAAAUUUAAAUAAAUUUCUUCAUAUUAAAUUUAGAAACUUGUUUUUUGUCAUACAAAUUUAGGAAUUUAGUUUAAGAUAAAUGUAGGAGUAUAAUACAAAAUUAAUUUCUUUAAUAAAUAAAAUUUAGUUUUGGAAGGUGUUUAUAGAAAAACGUAUUUAUUUUAAAAAAUAUGAGGACUUUUUUAUUUAAUAUUUUUUAGCUAUUUGCAUCUUAUAAUCACUGGAACCAAAGAUGACAACAAAUGAGUAGACUUACUCCUUCCGUCCAAUUCAUUUCUAUAACGUCUAUAGGAUGUCUCAUUAUUUAUAUACAUUCUUAAAAUAAUAUCAUUUAAUAAUAUAUUUAUACAAUCUAUUUAUAGGAUGUCUCAUUAUUUCUAUAUAUUCUUAAAAUAAUAAUUUUUAAUGAUAUAAAACAUUAUUACGAAAAUAUAUAAAUAUAUAAAUAUAUACAUUCUCAAAAUAAUAACUUUUAAUAAUAUAAAACAUUAUUAUGAAAGAAUAUAAAUAAAGACAAACCUUCUUUCUACGAAAGAAUAUAAAAAUCUACUUGAUCUUCGUAACAAACCAUCUGAACAAAAGCAUGUAAAAUAAAGAUACUAAACAAACUCAUGAACAAAAGAUCACGGACCACAAAAAUAAAGAAUCACACAACAUACGAAUAAAAAGUUGAAACCACAUAAAUAUUUGGAAGAGAUGGUGCAAAUCUUUCUAACAAAUACAAAAUUAAUCUUUAAAAUUUGUGAGUCAUAAAGUCCGGAUGAUGACCUUGCGACUGAGAUAGCUCACGAUGCCUCUAAUCAUUCAUAUCAGUGACAAUGUUAUGCAAGAUGCAGCAGGCCUUGAUCAUACUCUGAAGCUUCUCAGGUUUCAUUCCGGUUGUAAGAACCUUCCAUUCUUCCUUUAGCCUAUCCAAUUUCUCAACACUCAUUCCCUCUUCAACGGCACUAUCCAAUGUCUCAGCACUCGUUCCCCCUUCAGUGGCAGCGCCAGGCCCAUGGAGGUGGCUAAGGCCAUUUACUGCCUCCACAAAGGACCGUGUGACCUUGUCAGCAGUAAAUGAGUGCAUCCCAGUUUCAUCACCGAUUGAGUUCAGCGACUUCCCCAAUUUAAGCCUUCUCAUAGCUAUGGCCACUUUAGCAUCCACGGUUAAUUCCCUGUUAUCGUUAAAUUUGUAUUUCGGUGAAUUGCCCAGAGGCUCCUUCACAAGAGUGCAUAAGUCUCUGAAGGUUCUCAUCGAGAUCCCACAGAAUGUUUCAACUCUGUUCGAGUAUUCCCGUGGAGUAAACUGUCCUGCAAAGAAGAGAAGAUAAUGCAUUUACAUAUGUCAAUUUAACCUGAUGAAACAAUCACUCAUGAGACCGGAAACAUACUUGGUUCAGCCUGUUUGAACUACUACACAAAAUGAGAAGAAAAUUUAUUUCAUCACAUUAUAUUCUGUACAGCGGAACAGUCAUAAAAUUUUGAACUCGCAACCCAGUAUAAUAAGAGGAUAUUUGUAUAAGAAUAUGGAAAAAAGAUUGUGGACAAUCAAGACAACAUUAACAACUAUCACACACAUAUGCUAAAAUACUCAUGCGCACAUGCUAUCUUUAACUUGAUUCUUGGGUUAACACCAAAAUAGGAUUAAGUGGAAAGUACAGCCUUAAGAAUUAUUAGAUUCGAAAGAUGCAAGGACACUAAAUUAGAAGAAGAAUACCAGCAAACCUGAAAUAGAGGUCAGAAAUUCCGAAGUAACAUUUAAAAAUACUUAGAAAUUGUGAAGUUUAACAGCGAACACACACAAAACAAGCGGUUCAAUUCCACUGAUAGCUUAAAGUGUCUAGACUUAGCAACGAGAGGGAAGAAUGUGAGAGUCUUAGGUUUGCAAGACAUCUAUGUCCUUUUUUAACAAAAAGCUUCUGGCUAGUCAGAGAAAGUUUGUUUUCCUUUAAAAAAUUCACCUCCAUAAGUCAAUAAAACUACAUUGUAUCUUGAGUUCUUGACAGAAACGUCAUGUAAUUAUCGAAAAUUAUGAUUUAUUGCAUUUGACCUACCGGUUGGUUCACAGCCUGCUUCUUUUGGUGGGACUAGAUUUAUUGCAUUUGACCUGCCAGUAUCCUGUUUCUGGUGCACUAAGCUACUCCUUAACUUCUUAGGAAAGCUCUUUAUAGGAUUUCCCUGGGCAGGCUUCUCCUCUUCAUCUAUACUUGAACCAUGACCAUUGUUCUUUGGAACAAGGUUGGAAUCUAAGGAUAAAAGAAUAUUUGAUCAGUAAAGAAAAUACAAUCCAAACUUUAACAAGAAAUAAAAUGGUCAACUCUGUAAGUUGAAAUAAUAUCUGAAAUACAUAUAGAGGAUACUUGCAGAGUCAGAAUAGAAAUUUUUUACUGAGAUAACCAUAAUGAGAAUAAAACAUAAUCCUAGAUAAAUAAUCUUUUACGAAACCAGUGCACAGUCAAAUUUUACAAUACCAGUGCACAGUCAAAUAUGAAAUACAGAUGCAACAAAUAUACAUAUAAUUCCUGAAAUUGUAGUCCAGUGGAUCCCCGGACCCAUAACCCUUAGUAAAAAGAUAAGGAUUCGACACCCUGUGGAUAUAACUGUUUGAGCAAGUACUUAAAUUUCUUGUGAUUGACCUUACCCCAAAGAAAGAAAUAAACAUUUAUAUAUAACUAGAAAAUUCAAGACUUAAAAACAAUUAUUCUGUCUCAAUAAUACUUCUCAUAGAUGAAAUACAUGGAUACUACCAUUAUUAUAUUGUGAAUCCCCUAGAUAUGUCAAUUUGAACUAAUUAAACAAUCACUCAUGAGACUGGAAACAUACUUGGUUCUGCCCGUUUGAACUACUACACGAAAUGCGAAGAAAAUUUAUUUCAUCACAUUGAUUUCUGUACAAUGGAACAGUCAUAAAAUUUUAAACUCAAACCCGGUAUAAUAAGAGGAUAUUUGUAUAAGAAUAUGGAAAACAGAUCGUGGACUAUCAAGACAACUUUUAACAACUAUUACACACAUAUGCUAAUACUCAUGCGCACAUGCUAUAUUCAACUUGAUUCUUGGGUUAACACCAAAAUAGGAUUAAGUGGAAAGUACAGCCUUAAGAAUUAUUAGAUUCGAAAGAUGCAAGGAUACUAAAUUAGAAGCAGAAUACCAGCACCUGAAAUAGAGGUCAGAAAUUCCGAAGUAACAUUUACAAAUACUUAGAAAUCGUCAAGUUUAACAGCGAACACACACUAAACAAGCGGUUCAAUUCCACUGAUAGCUUAAAGUGUCUAGACUUAGCAUCGAGAGGGAAGAAUGUGUGAGUCUACGUCCUUUUUUUAUCUAAAAGCUUCUGGAUAGUCAGAGAAAAGUUUGUUUUCUUUUAAAAAAUACAUCUCCAUAAGUCAAUAAAACUACAUUUUAUCUUGAGUUCUUGACAGAAACGUCAUGUAAUUAUCGAAAAUUAAGAUUUAUUGCAUUUGACCUACCGGUUGGUUCACUUGCUGCUGCUUCGUUUGGCGGGACUAGAUUUAUUGCAUUUGACCUGCCAUUAUCCUGUUUCUGGUGCACUAAGCUACUCCUUAACUUCUUAGGAAAGCUCUUUAUAGAAUUUCCCUGGGCAGGCUUCUCCUCUUCAUCUAUACUUGAACCAUGACGUUUGUACCUUGGAACAAGGUCGGAAUCUAAGGAUCAAAGAAUAUUUUGAUUAGUAAAGAAAAUACACUCCCAACUUUAAUAAGAAAUAAAAUGGUCAACUCUUUAAGUUGAAAUAAUAUCUGAAAUACAUAUAGAGGAUACUUGCAGAGUCAGAAUAGAAAUUUUUUUCUGGGAUAACCAUAAAUGAGAAUAAAACAUAAUCCUAGAUAAAUAAUCUUUUACGAAACCAGUGCACAGUCAAAUUUUAAAAUCUUAGGUUCCUUAUUGUCUUACAUCAAUAAGCACCAAAUACUAUACAUGAAAUACAGAUGCAACAAAUAUACAUAUAGUUCCUGAAAUUGUAGUCCAGUGGAUACCCGAACCCAUAACCCUUAGUAACAAGAUAAGGAUUCGACACCCUGUGGAUACAACUGUUUGAGCAAGUACUUAAAUUUCUUGUGAUUGACCUUACCCCAAAGAAAGAAAUAAACAUUUAUAUAUAACUAGGAAAUUCAAGACUUAAAAACAAUUAUUCUGUCUCAAUAAUACUACUUAUAGAUGAAAUACAUGGAUACUACCAUUAUUAUAUUGUGAAUCCCCUAGAUAUGUCAAUUUGAACUAAUUAAACAAUCACUCAUGAGACCGGAAACAUACUUGGUUCUGCCCGUUUGAACUACUACACGAAAUGUGAGGAAAAUUUAUUUCAUCACAUUGAUUUCUGUACAAUGGAACAGUCAUAAAAUUUUAAACUCAAAACCCAGUAUAAUAAGAGGAUAUUUGUAUAAGAAUAUGGAAAACAGAUUGUGGACUAUCAAGACAACUUUUAACAACUAUUACACACAUAUGCUAAUACUCAUGCGCACAUGCUAUAUUUAACUUGAUUCUUGGGUUAACACCAAAAUAGGAUUAAGUGGAAAGUACAGCCUUAAGAAUUAUUAGAUUCGAAAGAUGCAAGGAUACUAAAUUAGAAGCAGAAUACCAGCAAACCUGAAAUAGAGGUCAGAAAUUCUGAAAUAACAUUUACAAAUACUUAGAUAAUGUCAAGUUUAAGAGAGAAUACACACUAAACAAGUGGUUCAAUUCCACUGAUAGCUUAAAGUGUCUAGACUUAGCAACGAGAGGGAAGAAUGUGAUAUUCUUAAGUAUGCAAGACAUCUAUGUCCUUUUUUAUCUAAAAGCUUCUGGCUAGUCAGAGAAAAGUUUGUUUUCUUUUCAAAAUACAUCUCAAUAAGUCAAUAAAACUACAUUGUAUUCUUGAGUUUUGGACAAAAACUUCAUGUAAUUAUCAAAGAUGCAAUUCCUUCACUCUCCUAUGCUGUAAAUCCAUCACUUAAGCGAACUUAUUAAAGAGAAAAUUUUUGAAUACUAAAAGUUAAGAAUUUGCACCUGAGCUUAAGAAAAAUGUUAUCCACAGAUGCAUGCAUUUAGAUUUUCUUAUUUCUUUAACCUCUAAUAUAGAUGAUAAGACGACGCCUGAAAAAUUGAUUGUCAAAUGCUUAUCAUGAAUGACACUGGACGACUUUCUUAAUUCAAAACACAAAGUUUCUCCUUGCAUUCAACACAGAGUAGUACAAUUCCAAAUCAAACAAAUACUCCUUACAUGUUACAGAAGUGAUAUGUACCUGAUAUAGCAGGCGGCGAGUCAACAUUUCUCACCAAUGAUAUGAGCCACUGCACUACAUCGUCCCGGUUUCUCCACUGUGUAUAUGCAUUAAUGGUUGCAUUCGACCCAAAAGCCUCAAGAUACUCCUUCGCAACUACAUACAUCAUCCGACCUUCUCUGUUCUCAUUACCAACAGCAGCAAGCAGUGAAAUUCCUGAAUACGAUCUCAAGUGAUAUUCGACAUUGACCUCAGAAAUAGUUCUCUCUUCCCAGGCAUUGUAGUUAUGUUUUUUCCCACCCAUCCUAAUGACAGACACACACUCAGACAAUAAGAAUCAAAGUGUAACAAUAUAAAUAGUUAAUUACUCAAACACAUAACCACCAGCAAACCGCCCUCCCCCCCCCUCCCCCCCCCCCCCNAAUUACCCAAAUCAAUUAGAGGUAAAAUUCAGCAUGACAACCGAAAGGCUCUUCUUUCUUGUAAACACCCCAACCCACCCCACACACACACACACACUUACUUUUCAAUCCCAACAAUAACACAAAAUGAAUAAAAGAACUGACAAACUUGGAAAUAAUUAUCUGAUUAAUAUCCAUCUCGAAAGGAAUACAAACAAAUCUAUUAGUAGCAGUUGUGCACAAGGUUGAAUGACCCCCGAAGGACCUCGACAAGGUGUAGGAAAAACAGAAAACUCAACCAGAGAUGUGUUACAUAUAUACAAUAUAGAGUCAGCCAGUCAGGGAAAACAUAUAAAAAAAUCAUUAAACAGAUAACUGCUUUAUAAGAUAAUGCAGGGUAAAAGUUAUUAAAAUAUAAAUGAAAAAAUUGGGAAUAGCACCUACCUUGAGUGGCAACGAGUACAAGUUUAUGCAAACUAUGGCACAGCGUGAGGCACUAAGAAGAAGAUUUUUUUGUUUCAAAUUAAAAAAAUGGCUUUCACCUAUACAAGACUAACAUAACAACCAGAAGAUAUAAACACUGUGGAAAAAUUCAAUUUUGAUUGCGAUAGAGCCAUUGAAUGCUGCUGAGGUGAUAUCUUUGGACAAUACUGUACUGACAAAUCUUAAAAGUAACAUUAAAGAGUAACGUACAAUCGAGAUAGGUAAAGAGGAAGAGAAAGUCAAGGACUCAGAGAUUGGAAUAUGCUUACAUCUUCUGCAGAGAUGGCAAUUUGACAACAUCUCGUAAAUGUAAAACCGAAAAAAAAAAACACUGUUGAUAUAUGUGCAUAAAGAAUAAACAUACAGAAAACCAGAUGCACACACAUAAACCAAGUAAAAUGGUCAGCAGCAAAAAACUAUUAAUUACAUCGCUGCAUAUUACCUCGAGCUAAAUUUCCUUUGCUUCUCUGAAAGAACAAUUUUUUAGCUAAUGUUCUUCUGCUUCUCUGAGAACAAUUUUGAAAGAUAACAUAACACUUAUACCCCGAAAACACAAUUAGGCAUACAUUUUCAAUUUGGGAUAAUUGAAUCUAGACGUUCUUUUUGUUUCUUUUGCCAAGUAGAUAUAGAUAUUUUUUAAUUACGCGAGGAUAAUUUGAAUCUUGCGGAUUUUGUUGAUUUCAAUUGGAACUUCAAGUUCGAUAUGAAUAUCCAGCUAUUAUUUCCAUAGAACAAAAUCAGUGUAAAGGUUUAAUGUUUUUCUGAAGUAAUCAAAUUAUACAAAAGUAUAUAUGUUGUAAAGGACAAGAUAUUAAUAUUGUAUAUUAUUAAGAAAUUGUAUUUAAGCGAUAAAAAUCAAUGGGCUACCUUUAUCACAAUAAUAACUAUAUCUCAGAGUCCCAACCCCCAAUAUUAUCAUUUUUAUAAUGGAGACAAAUUAUUGUCCCGAGAUGUGCUCAUGACCCACUGUCCACCUAGAAACAGGCUUUCGAAUGAGGUGAAUUGAUAGAGUAUAAUUUCGAGUAAGCGGUCCUAAAAAGAGAUUAUUAUUACAUAGAGUUUGGACCAUAAACUUGUAUUAUAAUAAGGAGUUUAUUCUUAUAUAGAGUAAUACUAUACAAAGGUUCCAUUGUAUAUGAUCCACAUAAGCCCACCUCCUACCACACUAAGAUUUUAGGAUUGUUGAUUGCUUAACAUGGCAUCAAAUUUCGGUCAAGAAAGUGGUCUCGGGUUCGACUCUUCUCGCCUAAUUUGUAUGAUUUAAUGUGUUGAUAAAAAAAAGUAGUUGAAGCUUAGUUAAUAACAUAUUACCUAUUUCAUUUAAUUCCAACAAAUAAUUUAUAUGCCUCAAGAUUUUUUUUACCAAUGUGGUUAUUUCCAUACAUAAGAGAUUUUUGUAAUAAGAAUAAGAUGCCAAAAUUUUACUAAAAAUACCGCUUUCUCCAAAAAAGAAUGGCAUAAUAAAAAAUAUUGAGUAUGUGUGUGCGUGCGCAAAUGAAACUUAGAUACACUCUGAUCACGUGGUCAAUUUUUCUUAAUAUCAUUUGAUGUCUACCUUAAUCAUAAUUGUUUUGUAUUUCUUUACAUUUCUCCUCACAUGCCUGAAAUAGGUUUUGUCUCUUGAAAAUGUAACAUAAAACAAAUUUUACAGGAAUAUUAAUUGAUUCUUAUUUAUAUACAAGUGUAAAUUGUUAUUAGUUAUUAGCUUAAUAAUUGCAGUUAAUGAUUAUUUGUUAUUAGUUAAUAAUCACAUAGCAAAAUAAAUUUAAAACAUGAAAUAUAAAAAGAAUAGCUCAGUUUAGUCUAUUAAAAAAAUAAAAUUUUAACCUAAACAAUACAGUGUGGUACUCCAUGUUGAUAAGCCCGGCUCAAACUAUGUUGAGGCCCUGUCCAUAUAUCAUAAAGUGAUGCCCCAGGAUAUAUUCAACUAUAAUAUGUUUUUUUUUAAAAUUACACAUUCUAAGUGUAUAUAACAGGGUGUAAUAUUUUAAUAAUACAUAAACAAUUUUUUCUAUAUAAUUCUAAACUCAUAGAAUUAAAAAACUUCAUCUUUCAAAAUUUAAUAUAGUUAAAAAAAAACACUAGAAAUGUAUUCUAGAGAUACAUAAUUCAAGAUCAAGAUUUAUUUUUAAUCUUCUAUUUGAUGUUAAGUUUUGUUAUAAUGAUUAUUAUUCAAUUAUUGUGAUUUUGUGUUUGUGAUUAUCAUUAUUAUACUAUAAAAGUUGAAAAUUACAUGUAUUAUGUUUAAAAGUUAAUGAACAAUCAUUGUUGAUGGAAAAUAAUGAAAAAUAACAUCAACAAUACUUAAACUUAUGAUAACAGAGCAAAAUAAUCACAGAGCAAAAUAAAUUUAAAACCAUCUAAAAAUAAAAUUUUAACCUAGAUCAACUCUAUAUACAGUUAUUACCAGUUAAGAUAUGGAUACAUUAGAUAUAGAAUAUUACUACUUAAAGUUAUCAAGAAAAGAAACAUUACUUGCACAAGUUUUGAUCUUUAUAACUUUUUCUUAUCAAGGUUAAAUAAUGAAUACAUUGUAUAGAAUUAGAAGUUUCGAUCUUGUAUACUUUAUCUUGAAGUCUACUUUUAUAUGAGCUCAACCAUAUAUUCUAAAUGGAAAUAAUUAGAAGAUCCAUACUUUAUCAAUCCUUUCCAAAUCCAUUAGUCUUUAGAGUCUAUUCAUUACUUUACGUCUUCAACUCAACUCAGUACUUCAUUAUUAGUAUAGAAGUCCUUGCUAUUUAAACGCGUUAGGCCCAGAGUAUUAAUCCUAUUAUUUGACCCAACAUAUGUACUAUAGACGAUGGAAAAAAUCCAGUUAGGCUAUAACUAUAAAGUAUAAAUUGUGGUAUCUAUUUUUUUAAUCAAAAUUAGAAAGAGCGUGCAUAAUAUAUGUAAUAUAGUCAUCCUACAAAAAAUAAUGAAAUAAACCAAUUAUGUUAUGCAGAAGGUGUGAAACAAAAACAAAAUUUACAGUAAUUAUUUUAGUACAUCGAAAUGACGCUGAAGAUGUGAAACACAAAUAAAAUUAACGGUAAUUAUUUUAGUACAUCUAAAUGACGUACCGUCCAAGGCCAGCAGUUCCCACUGAGUAUAGGAGUCUGAAUAACCUGCACAGUGUUAACCUCCAUUUCAUGAAACCCAACAUUACUACUAAUCAUUAGAUACAAUAAGACCUGUAACUGCAUUUGUAAUUGGUAGACAAUUUCCCCUUUUUUGGAGCAUCACCAGUAAUCCUUACAUGAGCAUGUCCCUGCAACAAAAUGAUGAAACCGAUUCCGGUCCCUAAUGAUGAUCUUCCUAUUAUAAACUAUGGAGAUUAUUUUUAUGGCUGAAUGGCAGUCAUCACAAACACGGAGAUUCUUAACAAUUCGAAUUGAGACUCCUGGAGCUGUAUUAAGAAUACCAAAAGCUAUUGCAAGCUUUUCGCUGUGACGAACAAGCAAUGUCUCUUUCUCUUUAUCAUUAAUAUCUUGCAGAACAGAGGUUGUUAAAGGUACAUAGCCUGCUUCUUUCAAUCUAUUCAUAAUCUCAGAUAACAUCUUAUAGAUUUCAACAGAUUGCAAGUGUGAUUCAUCACCAGAAAUAAAUUCAUGGACUUCGUUCCCAAUUUCAAUUGAACUGCUCCCUGGGAUCCUCUGGAUUUUGUUGUUUUUCAUAAUCCUUCUCACAUUGACAACCUUGUCCCACUGUUUGGCUUGAGAAUAUAUAUUUGACAACAGAACAUAAUUCCUGUCAACAUUGGGUUCUAGUGCUACAAGUUUUAUUAUAGCUUCUUCUGCCAGUUCUACAUUCCUAUAAAUUUUACACGCUCCAAGAAGGGCUCUCAAAAUUACUGCAUCCGGUUCGAAAGGCAUGCUUCUAAUAAGUUCUCUAGCUUCCUGAAGUCUCCCUGAUCGGCCCAGAAUGUCAACCAUGUUUCCAUAGUGUUCAAUUUUGGGAGGAAUACAAUAGAUAUCACUCAUAGCAUUAAAAUAUGUCCACCCCUUGUCAAAUAAGCCAAUGUGACUACAUGCUGUCAGCACACCUAUGAAGGUGAUAUCAUUGGGUUUAGUUCCUUCAGAUAUCAUUUUAGAAAAAAGAUCAAGUGCAGCCUCACCGUACCCAUGGUUAGCAAGCCCCAUUAUCAUUGCACUCCAGGCAAAAACAUCCUUCUUACUCAUCUGCUUAAAACAACCCACUGCAUUGUCUAUAUCCCCACACUUUGCAUACAUGUCAACAAGAGAUGUACCGAGCCUUAUACCUAUUUCGAUACAACUUCUUUUAAUGUACUCAUGGAUCAUCUUUCCCAUACCUAAAGCACCUAUAUCUCCACAUGCACACAACACACUAACCAUUGUGAUCUGAUCAGGCACUACAUUCGAUAACUGCAUUUCAUGAAAAAGUUUCAAAGCAUUACUAGAGCACCUGGAUUUUGCGCAGGUUGGGAACAUGGAGCUCCAAGAAACAAAAUCCUUUCUAGCACUUGUAUCAAACAAAUCUUGGGCAGAUUCAAUAUCACCAAUCGAAGCAUAGCCAUGAAUCAUAGUAUUCCAAGAAACUAAGUCUCUAUCAGAAAUCUUAUCAAAAAACUCUUCAGCCAAUCCCAUCUCCCUAACUCUAACAUAUUCUCCCAACAUAACAUUACAAGAAAUACAAUCCGGAUCCUUAAUUUCAUCAAACACUUUCCUCGAAACAUCCACCAAACCAAAUCUCCCAUACAUUUCAAUCAACGCCGUCUGAACAAACAAAUCAGACCCAAAACCAUGUUUCAAACAAUAAGCAUGUAAAGAUUCCCCAUUCUCACUAUCAACCAAUCUCCCACACGACUGAAGAACCACCGAUAAGCUAAAACUAUCAAUACAAAUCCCAUCAAAACGACACAUUCGCAUAAAAAGUGACAGACUCUCUUCAGGGUUGUUUGAUUUUAGGUAACCUCUAAUCAUAGUAUUAAACAUGAAAGUAUCUGGUUGAGGAAUUGUGUCAAACAGAUUGCGGGCAUACGAGAUAUCAUCAGCGAUCGGUGUCAAUAUCUUACCUAAUAGCUUGGUUAGGACAACAACGUUGAUGUCUAAAGCGGUUUUGAGAAUUAAAGCAUGGAUUUGGAGAAGAUGGUUGAGGUUAGUUGAGUGUUGUAUAAGGGACAUUACAUUGUGUUUGAUGGUUUUAUAGGUUGGUCUCAUGUUUGAAUGUAACUGUAUUAACUACUUUUCGCGGUAUACUUACACUUGUACGUACCACCAUGAGCUGGACAGUUCUAAAAAUCGUCCAUUUGAUCAAUUAAUCACCCGAUUUAUUUACAAGAUAUUUUUAUUGAUUCAGUCUUUUAAAUAUGAUUAAAAAUAAUAUAUAUUUGUAGAACUAGUAUAAUUGGUAAAAUAAAUAUUAUGUCUUUUUGUAAUUGAACAUUUUUUGAAAAAAAAUGUUUCAUAAACAGUAACAUAUAAUUGUUAGAUUAACACUUGAUAAAAGCUAUUGAAUCAGUUCAAUAAUUUUGAUAACAAGUUAUUAAAUGAGACCAGAUUAAUAAUUUUAAUGAUGUGUAAGAUCUCAGUAUGAUUUUAUGGUAAUACUAUAUGGGGUUUUAAAUCAAAUAUAUGAACUGACUCUAACAAUUCCUAAUGGUCACCUACACAAUUACACCCUAAAAUUAAGGCUGAAACACACAAUAGCCAUUCAAGUUUACACCAAUAUGCAUGUCAACCCUCAAAGUUCAAAAAUGUUCGGUCCAGCCACCAAAGUUACAAGAAUGUAACUACUAGCCACAUGAGACAGAGAGUGCAUGGCACACUCCCUGCCUGAGACUUGAGAGUACACUGACAUAUACUCCCACACUAUGCAUGUCCUUUUACUCCUCCAUCUCAGUUAUUAUUUCAGUUCUAUUAGUUAAAAUUAUGUUAGUCCGAGUUUGAGAAAAUACAUUUUUUCGCCAACCAACUCAUUGUUUGUUUAGAAAUUUGCCACCGAACUAUAAUUUUUUUCCUUUUUGUCACUAAUGUUAGGUUCGGAUUUUUUGAACUAUAAUUUUUUUCCUUUUUGUCACUAAUGUUAGGUUCGGAUUUUUUUUAGUCACUAAGCCUAGGCUCAGAUUUGAUUACUAACAUUAUGUUAAUUUUUUAGUAUUAUUAAACUAUAGUGAUAGUCUGCAAUAUAUUAUGAAGAUCUGAUAUAUGUCUAUAUCUUUGUAUGUAGCACUUACGCAUGUCCCCUAGAUAGUUCACCUUGUAGGACGAGAGUUUGACAUAUAUUUUAAGGCUCCUACAAAAUUUAGUUUCAUGAAUUAUUUUAAUUUUUUUUCUAAGUAAAAGUUAUGAUUGUCUAUUGUUUAUAUUAUAUAUAGUUUCAUAAAAAUCAAGGUUAGAUAUCAUCUACAAUUAUUUAUACCAUUGUACAAAAAUAAGGACGAAUAUCAUAAAAAAAGUAAACGAUAUACAAUUAAUCUUUAUUUUACCCCUCAUUUAUGUUAUUAUUAGAGCAACCCCAAUGCAAGUUCUCCUUACUCAUAUUUGGUCUAGGUGGACAAGAUUUAGGGGUUAGGAUCAAAAAUCAAUCCUCCAACGCAGCUUCCCAUCCCAUAAAAAUUUUAGGGGAGAGAAAACUCAUCCCCUUAUUUGAGAGAGCAAAAAGCCAACCCCUUGUUAAAAUAAUUUAUGAAACUUAAUCGUUUAGGAGCCUUAAAAUAUGUGUCAAAUUUUCGUCCUCCAAGGUAAACUAGCAGGGGCACAUAUGGAGUACUACAUAUAAAGAUAUAAACACAUAUCAGAUCACCGUAAUAUUGCGGACUACCAUUAUGUUUCAAUAAUGCUAAAAAGAAUAAUAUAAUGUUAAUAAUCAAAUCCGAACCUAACGUUAUUGACAAAAAAAAAUCCGAACCUAACAUUAGUGACAAAAAGGAAAAAAAUUAUAGUUCAGUGACAAAUUUCUUAACAAACAAUAAGUUGGGUGGCGAAAAAAUCUACCGUCCGAGGUUUCUAACCUGCUUUGAUUAGCAGUGUCCGUGUAUGACUAGAAGAUGGCCGGGGCAGCUGUGUUUCUCAGUCGAUUAUUCUUAUUAAUAUAUUAAUAUAUUAUUAUUAAUAAAGUUACAUAUCAUUCGAAUUUGUGUGUAGAUAUUUAGUUUUUAUUUUGCAAAAUCGAGCAGCAUAUAUCUUCAGUACAUUAAAAUAAAAAGCAUCAAGUUUGGUCCUAAGAUAAUAUCGUAACAUUCUAUUUAUAAGUUAUUUUUUUAAUUAAAGUUAAUCAUUAUUAUAAUUUAUAAUAAACCAAAAAUAUAUUUAAUUUAACACACUCGAUGAUUUUAUUUUAAAUAAAACACGUUUAUUUUAUAAUUAUAAAAUCAAACACAUUUACUUUUUAGUUAUAAAAUCUUUUUGUUAAAAAAUAUAUAUUAUUCUUGAAUAACCUUUUCAUUAAAAAAAAUAUAUUAAAAUUAUUUUAAUAAAUAUUAUAAAUCACAUAAAAGUAUAACACGGAUUAUGAACUAAAAUAUUAUAUGAGAAAGAUAUUUAUAGUCUAGGCAGACCCGUCUCGAUCAAAGAAAGAGGUCAUGUUUAAAUUUAAAUAUGGGCACUUUUAUUAAUAAGAUACAUACCACAUAAAUAUGUUUUAUUUUAAAUUAAAUUAGAACUUGAAACAAAAACCUUUAACAAUACAUGUACAUCGUCGAGCCUUAUUUAAAUUUUUUGUUAAAUAUAUUAAUUUAUUUAAUACAAAAAAUAAAUUAUUAUUACUAUAAUAUAUAAUUUGUGAUAAGAAAUAAAAAUUAUAUAUUAAUUAUUUUACUAAAAUUAAUUAACAAUUUAAUACAAGAAGCUCAAAAAAUAAUUCAAUAAAUAACACAUAAAUUUAAAAUAAAAUACUAACAUAAAAAUAUACCAAAAAUAUACCAAAAGCGCUAAAAAAAAACUUUAUUAAUUAAUAAUACUAGGUGCAUUUAUUUUAAAAAGAACAAUGGGUGUUGCUGCAUAGUACUAUGGAGGCCAUAACGGUGAAAGGAAAAGGGAAAGGUACAUGCAUCUGUGCAGAGUGUAUGUCAGACAGUAAGACUACUCUCAGGCAGGGAGUUUGCCAUGCACUCUCUGUCUCAUGUGGCUAGCAGUUACAUUCUUGUAACUUCGGUGGCUGGACCGAACAUUUUUGAACUUUGAGGGUUGACAUGCAUAUUGGUGUAAACUUGAAUGGCUGUUGUGCGUUUUAACCUAAAAUUAAAAGUGAGAAAAAUCUUGAAUUCAAACCGAAAUCGAACUCAGAAAUAAAAAAAAAAAAACCUGACAAAAAUCGAACUGCAUAAAAUCGAGCCGAGCCGAAACUAAAAAUUUUAAAACCGAACCGAAUCUAACGGAUGAUGUUCCAGUUUUAAGUGAAAACCGAGCCAAAUAAAAUCUAACCAAACCGAUUAUAUAAAUAAAUAUUAUUAAAUAUUAUUUAUUUAUAUAAUAUAAUUUUAUAAGAUAAAUAUAUAAACCAAAUUAAUGUCAUAGUGUAUUAUGGGUUAUCAAUAUGUUAAUCGUAUGUCGCGGAGUAGUGUAACAGUAGCUAGUGGGGAAGUGAGUAUAAACCUCAUAAGUUUAAACAUAUAAGUAUGAUUGUUAUAUUCUGAGUGAAUAAGCACAAACAUAUGAGUCACAAGCAUGAUAUUAUUAAGUUACUUUAUAUGAUUAGGUUUUUGUUUAUAUUUUCGUUUUGUUGGAUACAAUUAAACAUACCUAAAUAGUUCUUUAUUCGAGCAAUUGUCUAAAUUUAAAUUUAAAAUUUCUCAUUAACAUUAAUCAAGUUAACCAAUUUAUUUAUCAAACUGGAAGUAUGUUUCUUGAUUUUAUUUUUUGCGGUUUAAAACUGAAAACGAACUGACCGAACCGGAGUUUUAAAACCGAAAUCGAAAAUGACAGUUCAAUUACGGUUGCGGUUUCAACUUUUAAAACCGAGGACUUUCGGUUUCGGUUUUACCCAAACCGAACCGAACUGAGGUUUGCUCUUCCCUAGUUAAAACAACUUUAUUCAAUUUUUUGAAUAAUACUAGCUCAUCAUUGAAAAUAUCUUACAAAAUCUCUUUUCAAUGUUAUUAAUGAAUUCUCAUGAAAUUAUUAAAUAUCUAAUUUAAGAAAAAGGAGGAAAUUGAAGAUAUUAACAUGAUUAUAACUACAUGAACACAACUUCAUUAAAUAAAAAAUAGCAAUAACCUUCCACGUCACUAUCAUGACGGAUCUUUCUUGAACCAUCGAGUCGUCAAUAAUAACAUAGCAAUAGGUUACAAGAAGUGCAUGCCUUAAACUCUUAAGAUGACUUCGACUCAUCAACAAUAACAUAGCAAUAGAUUAUAAGAAGAGGAUGCCUUGGACUCUUAAGAUGACUUUUAAUUUUGGUCUGAGUUUAUGAUAAGAGUUUGGGAUAUGUAGACCCCGAGCUUAAAUGGAUGACGGACCUAUAAAUAGUAAUCCCCCAACUGGUUUAAAAAGACCACAAACGCAAACCAAGAACAGCUUAAAAAAGUCCAUAGACGGGCUUGCAGAAUACAUGAUCCAAAUAAAAGUAUAUAUAAUUCAAAUAUGAAAAACAGGUCAACUUAUCAUAAAUCUCAAAUUUUGAUGAUCACAUUUUAGCAAACUGUCUCUAUAUAUCAGCUUAAUAUUAUUGUCUAAUUGUUAUAAUAAUGUGUUGUAUUUCAGAAUCUAAUCAAGUUUUGUAGGGUAUUAAAGUAUCAGAAUAAUAGCAAGCUUCUAUUUAAAAAACAAAUGCUACGACAGAGAACAGAAUUCUACGUAGAAUUAUAUUCAUUCUACGUAGAAUUCUACGUAGAGAACACAAUCUGAGCACAUAUGGAACUCAUAAUGAGAGGCUUUGAUAUGUACUAGAAAAACUGGUUCACAAACAAUAAAGUAUACCAAGAACCCACAUUCUGAACGUAAGCACAGGCAUGUUCGGAUCAUCAGUUUGCGUAACUAGUACAUUAGCAAAGGCGUCCUUUUCUAAUAUCUCAGAUAUGCAUAUAAAAGAGUAUACAUGUAUAAUAAAGAUACUAAACAAACUCAUCAACUAAAUAUUAGUGACCACAAAAACAAAUAAUUACACAACCACGUAAAAAAAGAGGAAACCAAAGAAAUAUUUGGAAGAGUCAUUUCAAAGCUUUCUAACAAUUACAAAACUAAUCUUUAAAAUCUGUGAUGCAAAAAGCCUGGAUGAUGACCUUCCGACAGAGAUAGCUCACGUUGCCUCUCAUCAUUCAUGUUGAUGACAAUGUUAUGCAAGAUGCAGCAGGCCUUGGUCAUACAUCGAAGCGUUUCAGGUUUCAUUACAGUUGUAAGAACCUUCCAUUCUUUCUUUAGCCUAUUAAAUGUCUCAGCACUCAUUCCCUCUUCAGGGGCAGAAGCAGGCCCACGGAGGUGGCGAUGGCCAUUUUCUGCCAAGACCUCCACAAAGGACCAUGUGACCUUAGCAGCGGUAAAUGAGUGCGUCCCAAUUUCACCACCAAUUGAAUUCAGCAACUUGCCCAAUUUUAGGCUUCUCAUAGCUAUGGCUACUUUAUCAACCACAGUUAAUUCCCUGUUAUCGUUAAAUUUAAAUAUUUGUGAAUUUGACAUAGGCUCCAUCACAAGAGAGCAUAAGUAUCUGAAGGUUCUCAUUGAGAUCCCGCAGUAUACUUCGACUCUGGUUGAGUCUUCCACGAGAGGAAAAUGUCCUGCAAAGAAGAGAAGAAAAUGCAUUUUUAUACAUACGACUAAGACACUGCCAUAAUGUGUUUAUCAGGCUUAAAACUUGAACAUAUUAGAUUAAUGCAUAACACCAUACUAUUCCAUUCAUUUCAGUAUACACUAUACAUACACACAUCGACCUGUAAACUGUAUAAACAAAAUGAAGCUAGAAUGUCAAAAAUGUAAAUCAGUAAACUGCUUGUGAUUAACACACAGGGAUAUAUCGCUUUCAGUAAGGUUCCAAUCUGCAAAGAAUGCUACAGCUUUCAUAUCAAAUCAGAAUCAAUAUGAACUGAUUAUAAGUGGAUACUUUCGGUAUUCAUAGCAAGUUACAAGCUCCCAGGAAAACAUUAUAUCUACCAUAAUAUAGCUGUUUGACUAAACAAACCCUUACAAGAACUAAGUAAAUAACAACAUAUUCGAAAACAACAGAUUAGAUAUUGUUCCAAAGACUAAAACAACUGGAAGCAGUUUGACCUUAAUUACUAGUUUGACCUUGUGGAACUGGAAAUAGAAGUAUUUUGAAUAGCGACUUGCCUAAAAUCAAUCCCUUGCUACUUUGGAAAAAAAGCUAGUCCUGAAUUCUCACUGGUGACUUAUAGAUCAUAUAAUCAGAAGAUGAUUAUACUCGGUAUAGUUUGGAUUUACCUCAUAUUUUCUUCUAUGUAUGCACCAAUGUCAAAAUCUGAAAUGCUUUCUUUCCCAUAUUAUAGAGUAUAAACAAAGAAACUAAAAUAUCCACAACUACAUACAAAUCACAUCACCUUCCUCAACUCCUUGCAAAUCUCAUGACUCUAAUCCCAUCAGCAAAAUUUAUAUACACAUUACAUAACUCCCAGAAUUAAAAUUUAAAUGUUUAUAUCUUCAUUGUACUAAGCGACAAUUAAAUUCUAGGUCAAAUAAGACUCCGAACUACAGACUGAGGAUUUAUUCAUUCUCUAUCUGAAGUGAUUUUCAAUAAAUCAAAAGACAAAUCAACUGGUCACAAAUUAGAAUUCAUCAAACGCAGAUGAACAAGCAAACAAAAAAUAAAUUCGGGAAAAAAAGGUAGUACAUACCAAACCAUAACGAAAUCAACAAGAACAAUUCAUCACCACCAAAUGAGAACUUAAGAAUUUGAAGAUUUACAUACCAGCAAUCCUCUUCACGAAUUCGGCAAACCAUAUAACGUAAUUUAAAGGGAAUUUGCCACAAUUAGCUUCACUUCUUUCCAUUCUUUUGUGGUUUGAGGAAUGGAGAUUGAUUUUCCUUGCCACCGUACAAUAACUCUAAAGUUUGCGACUUUAAAGUUUGUUGGAACACAAAAGUAUAUAAAGAGUGAGAUGGAUGGGUCUGGGAUGACGUCAACGUGUUGAUGGAGGUUAAAAGAAAUAGAAUAGUAUAAGGAGUAUGUUUGUGAAUACUGGGGGUCGGCUUCAUAUAUACAAAUUUAUCCUAAGGAAAUUGUAAUUGGGCAUAAAAUAAAUUUUAUUUCAAAGUUGUAGCUCAUAUAUGAAGUAAAAUAAAGUAAUUAAAAUAUACUCACUCCAUCCCAUAAANNNNNNNNNNNNNNNNNNNNNNNNNNNNNNNNNNNNNNNNNNNNNNNNNNNNNNNNNNNNNNNNNNNNNNNNNNNNNNNNNNNNNNNNNNNNNNNNNNNNNNNNNNNNNNNNNNNNNNNNNNNNNNNNNNNNNNNNNNNNNNNNNNNNNNNNNNNNNNNNNNNNNNNNNNNNNNNNNNNNNNNNNNNNNNNNNNNNNNNNNNNNNNNNNNNNNNNNNNNNNNNNNNNNNNNNNNNNNNNNNNNNNNNNNNNNNNNNNNNNNNNNNNNNNNNNNNNNNNNNNNNNNNNNNNNNNNNNNNNNNNNNNNNNNNNNNNNNNNNNNNNNNNNNNNNNNNNNNNNNNNNNNNNNNNNNNNNNNNNNNNNNNNNNNNNNNNNNNNNNNNNNNNNNNNNNNNNNNNNNNNNNNNNNNNNNNNNNNNNNNNNNNNNNNNNNNNNNNNNNNNNNNNNNNNNNNNNNNNNNNNNNNNNNNNNNNNNNNNNNNNNNNNNNNNNNNNNNNNNNNNNNNNNNNNNNNNNNNNNNNNNNNNNNNNNNNNNNNNNNNNNNNNNNNNNNNNNNNNNNNNNNNNNNNNNNNNNNNNNNNNNNNNNNNNNNNNNNNNNNNNNNNNNNNNNNNNNNNNNNNNNNNNNNNNNNNNNNNNNNNNNNNNNNNNNNNNNNNNNNNNNNNNNNNNNNNNNNNNNNNNNNNNNNNNNNNNNNNNNNNNNNNNNNNNNNNNNNNNNNNNNNNNNNNNNNNNNNNNNNNNNNNNNNNNNNNNNNNNNNNNNNNNNNNNNNNNNNNNNNNNNNNNNNNNNNNNNNNNNNNNNNNNNNNNNNNNNNNNNNNNNNNNNNNNNNNNNNNNNNNNNNNNNNNNNNNNNNNNNNNNNNNNNNNNNNNNNNNNNNNNNNNNNNNNNNNNNNNNNNNNNNNNNNNNNNNNNNNNNNNNNNNNNNNNNNNNNNNNNNNNNNNNNNNNNNNNNNNNNNNNNNNNNNNNNNNNNNNNNNNNNNNNNNNNNNNNNNNNNNNNNNNNNNNNNNNNNNNNNNNNNNNNNNNNNNNNNNNNNNNNNNNNNNNNNNNNNNNNNNNNNNNNNNNNNNNNNNNNNNNNNNNNNNNNNNNNNNNNNNNNNNNNNNNNNNNNNNNNNNNNNNNNNNNNNNNNNNNNNNNNNNNNNNNNNNNNNNNNNNNNNNNNNNNNNNNNCACUAUACAUACACACAUCGACCUGUAAACUGUAUAAACAAAAUGAAGCUAGAAUGUCAAAAAUGUAAAUCAGUAAACUGCUUGUGAUUAACACACAGGGAUAUAUCGCUUUCAGUAAGGUUCCAAUCUGCAAAGAAUGCUACAGCUUUCAUAUCAAAUCAGAAUCAAUAUGAACUGAUUAUAAGUGGAUACUUUCGGUAUUCAUAGCAAGUUACAAGCUCCCAGGAAAACAUUAUAUCUACCAUAAUAUAGCUGUUUGACUAAACAAACCCUUACAAGAACUAAGUAAAUAACAACAUAUUCGAAAACAACAGAUUAGAUAUUGUUCCAAAGACUAAGACAACUGGAAGCAGUUUGACCUUAAUUACUAGUUUGACCUUGUGGAACUGGAAAUAGAAGUAUUUUGAAUAGCGACUUGCCUAAAAUCAAUCCCUUGCUACUUUGGAAAAAA
rnacentral:lncRNA from 1 species